GUGGGGAAUAUUGCACAAUGGGCGAAAGCCUGAUGCAGCGACGCCGCGUGAGGGAUGACGGCCUUCGGGUUGUAAACCUCUUUCACCAGGGACGAAGCUAACGUGACGGUACCUGGAGAAGAAGCACCGGCUAACUACGUGCCAGCAGCCGCGGUAAUACGUAGGGUGCGAGCGUUGUCCGGAAUUAUUGGGCGUAAAGAGCUUGUAGGCGGUUUGUCGCGUCUGCUGUGAAAGACCGGGGCUUAACUCCGGUUCUGCAGUGGGUACGGGCAGACUAGAGUGUGGUAGGGGAGACUGGAAUUCCUGGUGUAGCGGUGAAAUGCGCAGAUAUCAGGAGGAACACCGAUGGCGAAGGCAGGUCUCUGGGCCAUUACUGACGCUGAGAAGCGAAAGCAUGGGGAGCGAACAGGAUUAGAUACCCCAGUAGUCC
rnacentral:rRNA from 1 species